rnacentral:rRNA from 1 species
GUAGGUGGCAAGCGUUGUCCGGAAUUAUUGGGCGUAAAGCGCGCGCAGGCGGUUCUUUAAGUCUGAUGUGAAAGCCCACGGCUCAACCGUGGAGGGUCAUUGGAAACUGGAGAACUUGAGUACAGAAGAGGAAAGCGGAAUUCCACGUGUAGCGGUGAAAUGCGUAGAGAUGUGGAGGAACACCAGUGGCGAAGGCGGCUUUCUGGUCUGUAACUGACGCUGAGGCGCGAAAGCGUGGGGGAGCAAACAGGAUUAGAUACCCUGGUAGUCCACGCCGUAAACGAUGAGUGCUAAGUGUUAGGGGGGUUUCCGCCCCUUACGUGCUGCAGCUAACGCAUUAAGCACUCCGCCCUGGGAGUACGGCCGCAAGGCUG